rnacentral:rRNA from 1 species
AUGGCGCCGGCGCACGUUCUGGUGUUCCCGUGGCCGCUGCAGGGCCACAUCAACUCGAUGCUUCAUUUCGCCGCGGGGCUCCUCGACGCCGGUCUCCACGUCACAUUCGUUCACACGGAGCACAAUCUCCGCCGUGCUCACCACGCCGAGGCCGUCGCGACGCCACGCCUCCGCUUCGUGUCCUUGCCGGACGGCCUCCCCGUCGACCACCCCCGCUCCGUGGGCGACCUCAAGGAUGUCGCCAAGUCACUGAUGACGACGGGCCCUGCUGCGUACCGUGCGCUCCUCGCCUCGGCGCUGUCCCCCGCGGCCGACGGCGGGUUCCCAGCGCUGUCGUGCGUCGUGGCCGACGGUUUACUGCCGUUCGCCAUCGAUGUCGCGGAGGAGCUCGGCGUGCCGGCGCUCGCUUUCCGCACGGCGAGCGCGUGCAGCUUCUUGGCUUACCUCUCCGUGCCCAGGCUCGUGGAGCUCGGCGAGGUUCCCAUCCCUGUAGGCGCCGACCUCGAUGAGCCGGUCCGUAGCGUCCCGGGGAUGGAGGAUUUCCUGCGGCGACGAGAUCUUCCAAACUCUUGCCGCCGUCGGGCCAAGACCGACGACGUCGACCCUUUGCUGCAGAUUCUGGUGGGCUACACCGCUCACAGCUGCAAUGCUCGGGCGCUCAUAUUCAACACGGCGGCGUCACUGGAGCGGUCGGCGCUCGCGCACAUCGCGCUGCAUAUGCGCGACGUCUUCGCCAUAGGCCCUCUCCACGCCGUCUCGGCGGCGCCGGCGCCGGCCGCCAGUUUGUGGCGCGAGGACGACGGGUGUAUGGCGUGGCUGGACGGUCAGGCGGACCGGUCCGUGGUGUACGUGAGCUUGGGCAGCCUGGCCGUCAUUUCGCUCGAGCAGUUCACCGAGUUCCUGUCCGGGCUUGUCGGCUCCGGCUACGCGUUCCUGUGGGUGCUCCGGCCGGACAUGGUCGGGGCAAGCCAGAGCGCCGUCCUCCAGGAAGCCGUCGACGCGGCGGGGAACGGCAAGGCGCGUGUCGUGGACUGGGCGCCGCAGCGAGACGUGUUGAGACACCGCGCCGUGGGCUGCUUCCUGACUCACGCCGGGUGGAACUCGACGCUGGAGGGGAUCACCGAGGGCGUACCGCUGGUGUGCUGGCCGUUCUUCGCGGACCAGCACAUCAACAGCCGGUUCGUCGGCGCAGUAUGGGGGACGGGGCUGGACAUGAAGGACGUGUGCGAGAGGGCCGUCGUGGAGGGGAUGGUGAGGCAGGCCAUGGAGUCCGGCCAGCUAAGGAUGUCGGCUCAAGUGCUGUCGCAGGAGGUGAGGCGGGACGUCGCGGAGGGAGGCUCGUCGGCGACGGAGUUCCAACGGCUUAUCAGCUUCAUCAAGGAGUUCGGCAAGAAUUAA